rnacentral:tRNA from 1 species
GAAAUAUAUAAAAAUAAGCUUCUAACUUAAAUAAUAGCGUUUUACGUUAAUAUUUCU